GCACCAGGCCGGGCCCCUCUGGCAACCUCACCGGUUGCGAUGUCGGACUGGGAAC
rfam:Azospirillum lipoferum 4B plasmid AZO_p4 complete genome